GACGAACGCUGGCGGCGUGCUUAACACAUGCAAGUCGAACGGAAAGACCCUGCUUUUGUGGGGUGCUCGAGUGGCGAACGGGUGAGUAACACGUGAGUAACCUGCCCUUGUCUUUGGGAUAACUUCAGGAAACUGGGGCUACUACCGGAUAGGAGCUCCUGCUGCAUGGUGGGGGUUGGAAAGUUUCGGCGGUUGGGGAUGGACUCGCGGCUUAUCAGCUUGUUGGUGGGGUAGUGGCUUACCAAGGCUUUGACGGGUAGCCGGCCUGAGAGGGUGACCGGCCACAUUGGGACUGAGAUACGGCCCAGACGCCUACGGGAGGCAGCAGUGGGGAAUAUUGCACAAUGGGCGGAAGCCUGAUGCAGCAACGCCGCGUGCGGGAUGACGGCCUUCGGGUUGUAAACCGCUUUCGCCUGUGACGAAGCGUGAGUGACGGUAAUGGGUAAAGAAGCACCGGCUAACUACGUG
rnacentral:rRNA from 1 species